GCCAGCCCGCCCGGAGCGUCCCUGGCACCGGCGGGACCGACUGCGCUCGGCAGCCCGGCAGAAAUGGGUCUCCCGGGCUCGGUGGUGGGGCUGCUACCGACCCCCACAGCCGCCCGCCCGUCACAGCCCUCCCGUGGGCAGAGCGGGGGGCGGCUCCGGCCCCGCACAGAAGCGGCGUGGGCAGGUCCGUCCCAACACGCCCACCGCCGUCCGAGGGGGUAAGGGUGGGAGAAAGGAGACCAGGAGAAUAGAUUGCUUAUGUCCGUGGUAAAGGGGUUUACAAAAGGGCAGGAAAGGGCAAAGUGAGGGGCAGGAGAGAAGCCUGGUCUGAUAACAUUCAUCUUUUAGCCAUCUCUUCAAAUCACACUGUUAAGAUCAUAUCUGCUUUUCCUGCUCCAUUACAGGUGAUGAGGGGUAAGACUGCUGAAGGUGUGAGAGCUGGUGACUAUACGUUUGGCGGUGCAAAAUACACCUCGGGGUGGCUGGUCCCACGAGGCCAAAUGCUCAGGGAGCAGCGCAGCAAAGGACUUAAAUCAGGAUCCCUAAAGGGGUGCAAGUCCUGUGGACAUGGUUGGUGUCCUCUGUUUUGGGGCAUGAGAUCCUGACUGACCCCAGGACAUGUAAGCAAAGUUGAGAUGCUGGUCAUGAGGAAAAUUAGUUGACUCUGCCCUUCUUCUGGGGUUUUUCACUGCAAAGGGAAAAGUCUACUUAGGAAGGAGGAUACAUGUGAAAUGAAAUUAUCUUUUCUCCCCAGCCAUUAUGCCAGAGUUAUGUAUCUGUUUUCUAGCCCCUGAAUCCUGAUUUCACUUAUGGAAAAUGAAAGGAAUAUACCUCUGCCAGAAUGAUGAUCAUCCCUCUCCCCACCUUUUAAGGGCAGCUGGGUGAUCAGAACUCAUUCUGGAGGCAGAAGACUUGAGUUUGACUUGGCCAAGGUGAAGUGGAGCUCUCUCACCUAUACUCUGUGUGGAUACUUACAAAACUGAUAGAAAACAAGUAGAGGUAGCUAAUUCUCUAGCCAGAUCUUAGAAGUAAUUGCCUGCCACUGCUUCUGCAGAAAGUCAAGAGGCAUUUCCAAAGGACUCACAUUUUGAAAGCUUGAUAGCCCAAUGGGUCUGUAGGAUACUUUUAAUCCCUUAUUUUUUAUAACUUCUAAAAUUAAUUUUAAAACCAGUUUACUAAAAUGUGCCUAAUGAUCUACAACAUCCAGCAGUUCUCAUUCUCUUACCUCUGCAGUGUCUCUAAUGAAUAAAACUGCAAUUAAUUUCAGUGUUUAGUGUGGCUGAGCCAGUUCUUAAUAGGGACCAUACUAGUAUGGCAAUAGCUCAGAGCUCUUUGCUAGCUGAUAAACUUCUUAAUGGCUUGAGGUCCAGCUGAAGGCUUGGAAUAUUAAUACUAAUUAAUUCUAAUAAUUUUCAGAAAACAAGCAAUCAUGCAUAUGACAGGAUCUGAGAAACAUUGGACAAACUACAUAUAGGAAACACAUGGAUCAAUGACUUAUUUUUAUUGGCCAAUAGCCAUUUUCUUUUAUUUUUCAUGUUCUUGAAGAAAUCCUGAUAUAUGCAUAUCUUGAAAAGUUUCCUUAAAAUAUUAAAUUUUUAAGUUUUGAAGGAGCAAUGAAUUUUAACUGUGGAAAAUGUAAAUUACUUGGACAGCAAAUCUGCCCCUUCCAGCUUGCCAAAAAUUUGUAGUGCAAGAUCAACUGGAGUCCAUUAUGUAUUCAAGCAUCACUCCUGAAUUUACAUCAUGAAGAAGUAAAAGCUGGAAUGAAAAGGUGUGUUUCAACCAAAUACUGUCCACUAUUGAUUUGAACGUUUUCCUGUAACAACAGAUACAUUUUACAGCUCAAGAUGGGAAUGUCACAUACUUCUGCUCUGAAAGUUGAUAAUACAAGCUCUUGAAAAAACAGGUUGAAAAUGAUGUAACCUGGAUCUUAAAAAGGAAAUGAAAAAAGAGUUGGCUACCCGCUUAAAGGAGUAAACCACUUUCUGAAAGCUGGAUCUCAGAUCUGUGUUUUUUCUGAGUUCUAUAAGAAGAAUCAAUUAAUGUAGAAGUGCUUGACUUUUCUUACUUUUUUCUCUUCUUUCUCUUCUCUAUGGAAAGAGCUGUCCAAUUAAUGUCUCCCUGCUUUUGUAUAGUAAUCACUAAACUUGCUGGUUUUGUCUUGAAUUGUGUUGCAUUUUGAUUGUUGCAAUCUUGAGACUUCAAAGACAUAAACAACACAAGGUGAGUAAAAACUUUUCAUUAGAUCUAUGAUAUAGCUUGGAAAAUGGAAACAAUGUUUUUAGGCAAUGUGAACUUUUUCAGAGUGAAGCUGAAAAACUGUUUGCUUGAUCAACUAUCCAUGUUCAAAAAAAUAAAUUGUUGGCAAACUUCAUCUUGCUCUGGGUUCUAUAUUUCUUGCCUUUAUAUCUUUGUACUUCUCCUUCCUCUCACUCUACACAUAAACAAUUUUUAGUCCACUCAUCUUAAAGCAACUCUUUAAGGUUCUUGUCUCCAGUUGUCACUCUGGGCAAAAUUCUUCCCUACCCUCUGUCUCAUUAAAUAACUUCAUUCACUGAAGUUGCUUCCAUACACUAAUUCACUAAUCUCUGCAUGGUGGUGCAUGGUUUUGCCUGACUGUAGACUGAGGUAGGGCAGAGAAAUCUCUUUUUCUGUUUGCAAAUGUAGUCCAGGAGCUGAGGGAGCAGGUGCUUGACACAUCAAAUGGAACAGGUGUGUUGCUUCUUUUUCUACUCCUCUGCUGGACAGCCUCAUACAGGCAUUGCAUUUUUGCCUCCCUUGGGGCUGUAGAGAUGUGUACUCUUUGUGACUGUGAUUGUGGCACACAAGUAGAGAGAAACAUGUUUUGGAAACAUCUGCUCUAUUCCAACCCUCUAGAGAAGGAUAGUUCCUUACCUUGUGUGCUGGCUACUCAUGAGAAUGAAUUUCUGUGCUAUUUUAGGCAAGACCUGUAUGCACACAAAGAUUAUGUAAAACUGAAGAUACAGAUCCAGUUACAAAUGCAGUUUUGCAAUUGGUCUUGAAUGCAGCCUGGAGAAACAAACUGGAUUCCAACAUGAAAGAUAACUACUCAAAACCACUUCUGAAGAGAGAAAAUCAAGGAGACCAGCAAACUGAGAGCUGGGUGUUGGAUAGCAGAAGCAGAGCAAGGCUGGAUAUUAGAUAGCAACUAAUCUUUAGUUGUGAUCCUUUACAUCCACCUUUACCCACACCCUAGUCAGCCCUUGACUCAAGUCAAUGAGUGAUGGCAUAGCAUUUUACACUCAAUUUGAAGACCUUAAGGAGGAUCAAUGACAAGGUUGUCAAGUCUGGAGGUGAUGGAAAAGUGUCUCUGGUGAAUCAGGAACUAGUACUGAGCAACGUCAUGAAUACGGUGACACUGAAGCUGAUGAAACACAGCUUCAAGGGGAACAAGAAUAAGGAGAUGGAAAAAACUGUGGUGGGAAUGUGAAGAGGGGAUGGCCAAGUGUAACCUGCCCUGAGGAACAGUGUGACUGUCUGCCCUGUGGCAUUAUCAAAUACCAGGAUACCCUGACACAGGGCAGGAGUACAGACAUCCUCAGCAGGGCCUCUGGGAAGCAGAUGGAAGUGACACAAUAAAAUGGAAACUCAGAGGGGAAAGAUGAGGCCAUUCAGUCAAUUUGUUUAGAUAUUUGUUGACCAAGUUGGAGAGAGUAGCACUAUUAAAUGGAGAAAUGGAGAGUUAUCUCACUUAUGAGAAAAGUGGGUCACUGGUGGUGGCAGAAUUACUGGAGGUGGACAGAUAAUAUUUGUUUUGGCUUGCUGAAGUCAGUAGGCCACCUGCUCUGAUAAAAGUUGCAUAACAUUUUAGCACAAGUUGAAAGGUAGCUGAAAUGACGUGGAAUUCAAAAGCUGAAAGCAGAUUAAUUUUUCAGUCCUUCUGGGAAGAGUAACUCAAACCCAUAUGAAAGUGGUAGUUUCUAGGUGCAAAGGAAAGACUGUCACUAUGAUGUCUACACAACCAAACAUUCAUCUGGCUGAAGCAAAAGCCGUUCAAACAAUGUUUCUUCAAUUGAAUGCAAACAUGCCAAGGCUCUUUGAUACUUGGAGGUGUUUUGAUUUAAUGUGUAUAUGUAUUCCCUUUUCUUACACAGAAAUGUAAAAGGUACAAAGGGAAGAAUAACUUCUAAGCAAACACUUCCACUGUUAGAAGAAUUUACCAUUUAUUCAAUUAUGAAAAAAUAUAUAAAAUCAUAUUUACAGCCAUAAGGCCAUCACAGAAGAAGAUGUUUUGCAGCUUCCUAAAAACUUCACCAGAGUCCACACUUUCUUCCCUUAUCAAUUACAUCUCUAUUUACUAGAAAAUGUUAGGUUUUGGGUGGUAGAUUUUCCAGCAGAAUAUUUAAUAUGGAAAAUAACAAGAAACACAUUAAAGCUUUUGCAGACAUUGUUAUUACAAGCUGUAAACUGUGUGAAAUAUUUCUAGAGAAAAAAAAAUCUUAAGCAGUUCCAAUGUCUUUUUUUCUUUCAGCCAAAUGGCAAAAGGAAGAGCAUUUUUGUAUCUAAGUCUGCAUUGUGGUGACAAGCAACACUUGUGUUUGCAAUCAAGGAGCUAAAUGUCAGCAUACUGCUUUUUAUUCAGACAUGAAUUCAGAGGUGCUGGUGAGGGCUCUUCAGAUGUUGACCUACAUGUCUAGUGUUUUACUGAUAAUAGACUUUUAAAGACAGAAAGCCAAAGGAGAAAUUGAGAUUCAGACCUACCUACAGCAGUUAAAGCAAAAUGGUUGAUGGGAAAAGGGUCAUGGCUUCAGCAGUUGCUUCACUGCAAAUUUACACCCCCUGUCUGUAAAUACAGGUAGAUAGUUAACAGAGGAUUGGCAAAAGUACAAUGUAAUUCAGAAUAAAGAAGAAAAA